UGCCAGACUCCUACGGGAGGCAGCAGUGAGGAAUAUUGGUCAAUGGGCGCGAGCCUGAACCAGCCAAGUCGCGUGAGGGAAGACGGUCCUAUGGAUUGUAAACCUCUUUUGUCGGGGAGCAAAAGACGCCACGUGUGGCGUUCCGAGAGUACCCGAAGAAAAAGCAUCGGCUAACUCCGUGCCAGCAGCCGCGGUGAUACGGAGGAUGCGAGCGUUAUCCGGAUUUAUUGGGUUUAAAGGGUGCGUAGGCGGGCUGUUAAGUCAGCGGUCAAAUGUCGGGGCUCAACCCCGGCCUGCCGUUGAAACUGGCGGCCUCGAGUGGGCGAGAAGUAUGCGGAAUGCGUGGUGUAGCGGUGAAAUGCUUAGAUAUCACGAAGAACUCCGAUUGCGAAGGCAGUUCACUGGACUGCAACUGACACUGAGGCUCGAAAGUGUGGGUAUCAAACAGGAUUAGAUACCCCAGUAAAG
rnacentral:rRNA from 1 species